UGCGGAUAGAACUAAGAUGAACUCAUUUGACAGUGCUGUCAUAGUAUUUUAUUUUUAGUGGUUGCGUUUUGUCUUUUUAGGUGGUUGCUGGAUGGUUAUAUACGCUGAAACUACGAAUAGCAGACUCGAAAACAGAUUCCAGAAUAUGUGAUGUGAAAGUCUGGGUUCAACAUUCCGUCACAGAUGAUAUCAAAGAAGUUGACGCUUCCUGCGAGGAUAAACCGUCUAGAAGGAGCAAGCGGCGAUCAUUAUUCAUCGGUGGUAUAAAAGAAUUGAAACCAGACCAUGACGACGCAUUGAAGUACGCCAUGUUUUCGGUUCCCUUCCUGGGUCCUUCUUUGGCUCCGAAGAGCGACUGAAAUUGAUUGAGGUGGUUAAAGCCUAUUCUCAGCGUUCAGUAGGGUCCAUUAAAUCACUUUCUACAAAUACAGAGGACUUGCACAAGGCAGCUGAAAACAUCCCGCAAAAGAAACCGAAAGGAGUAAAUGCUCUUGAAUUCUACAAGCAGGUAAUCUGAUUUCUAAUCUGAUAUGAGGCGUAUUUAAACCUGGUAAAAUCUCCAAAAAAUGUAACUCAGAUUAGGUCAGUGCACUGCCGCACGGAAGAACGCCGUAUGAGCGUUGAGACAUUGCCAAACUUCUUCUGAUAAAAAACAGGUUUGCGAGAAA
rnacentral:lncRNA from 1 species